GGCUGAGGGGGCGCAGCGGACAGCCGGUGCCGCUCUCUCGAAAUCAGCGAGCUGCGGUUCCUCCCGAGUUCGGGGGGGUAAGGACAGCCUCGGUGCUCCGACCCGGCGGCUGGGCUGGGUCGCAGCGCCCGUGAGAGAGUGGCCCGGUGGCAGAAGAACACCGGAGAGGGCAGAAAUGGAGAGGCCGUGUCUGUGCUGGGCAGAGCUGGUCAAGGCAGUAGAAGAUGAUGGCUUUUGGAUUCUUCCAUUUUGCAAGAAUAUGGAUUCUGGAGAUAACGAGCACUGUGCACUCCAGAACCUUGCAGGAUCAGUUUCACAGCGUGCAAAUUUCCAUCCCCUAGAAAAGCAUUUCAGAGAUUUCCUAUCCCUCUGGUCAUCCCACUUUGCAACUGCAGAGAUGAGUUUGCCUGAAUGGCUGCAUCUUGCCAGCAUAGCCUGCAUUUAAGAAUACUCCAUGAAGAUCUACAACCUAUUCUUUUAUUGGUUUUGCAUGCAAGUGCUUAAGAAUUUCCAAACCGUACAGAGAUUAAGAGACAGCCUCGGACAAGGUUUUAAAAUAAGGCUCUGUACAGUCGCAGAGAGGAAAGCAUGGAGUCACAGAGCACUGUGGGGACCACACUUCUUGAUGUAACAGCCAAGCUUAGAUGGUGGACAUGCCUUCUGAUUUGGAAGCAAAGAUUUCUUAGCAGUAGCUUUAGAAUGGAUAUAUACAAGCUCGUUCCAAAUACUCUUUUUUUUAGGAGAAAAAUUCUGGUCAAGGAAGAGAGAAAUGCAGCUAUUAACAGAAAUGUUGUAAGCUUUCUCUCUCUGCCAACUGAAAGCCAAUACCCCAUCAAUACACAUUCUUAUUCCAGAGAACCAGAUUAUGGCACAGAUGGAUGUGCCAGCUGAGGAUAAAAACUGCCCUAGUUGCUUCAUCACCACUCACUGACUACAGACCAGCUCUGCCAGCAGAUAGAAAAGCGGGAGUUCUCCUGUCCAGCUCAGCAGGGUUAGCUCAAACUGAUCCUGACCGGCAAGGCUUCAGGCAGAUCACUGCCUCGAGCAAGCCACUACUUCAACAAACUGAGGCAAGGUUUAAAACACAAUUAUUUGAUCCUUUCUUAAAGCUCUUUGAAAGAAUCUAGGCAACAUCUCCAAGUAAUGCUGCAACCCCUGGAACCAGGCUGAAAUCACUACUGAGGCUUGAAAGUGGCUUUGUCUUAUGCCAAACAUUUGACAAUCAUUUACAAAGGCUGUUUACAACCAUUAUAUUUUUGCAUCUUCUGUCUCCUUUUGAACUUCUUUGGAUUAAAAUAAUAGUAAGAGGAAAUUAUUAUUACUCACCUCCUUUUGAAAAUGUAUCUGUGGCCAAGUUUCUGCAUCGAAGUUGUAACCGUGUACAAGCAAGUAAUAAAUGAAAUUGGCUGAAAAACAGUAGGAUCUAGCAUAUAUUUCUUCAAAUUUAGGCAGCAUAAAGUGGAGCUGAAAGCAAAAGGUUUUUUAAAAACACAUAAAUUAUGAAAAUGCUUUUGGUUUUUAUAACUAGAGAAUUAUUUGGAUUCCAAUUAGAAUUUAUUAACAUUUUUCAGAAACAUCAAGUAAAAUUGUGGACAAAUAGACAUGGAGAUUUAGAAAAAGAAAGACCCUGACAGUGAUAUAGCUUAUGUGGUUAAAAAUGAAAAUAAACAUAAAACUGCACAUAAAAGAUUGAGGAUGUUACAGUUCCUAAAUUUUCCACAUCAUCUUUACAGCAUGGUUAAAACUGUGGUAGUAAACCAUGGCCACAAAUCUCUUUUAAGAGCAUCACAGACAGAGUCAGCCUUGCACGUGACAGUCAGCUAUUAAGUGAUGAUGGUAAGUUCCAAUAGGAAAUGCUAGCAACAAAAUGAAUGCAGACAGGGAGCCAGUUCGGUGAUGUGAGGUACUUUCCUGCAAGUUUAUAAUAGGUCUGUCAAUUUACUCUAGCUUCACGCUAUCAGAGCUGAGAUCAGAACAGGGCAUAAGGAAUAUUGCAGGAUUAGAAAAAUACAGUUAAACCUCCAUUAAAUAAAGAUGCCUGCAAGUUACAUAGAACAUGUUAUAUCACAAGACUGCUCUUUGGAUGUCAAUUAUGACCUGGGGUGCUCGUUUAGAUCAUGAAUAUCAGCUGGAAUUCACAGACCCAAGCAAAGUGCUUUUGAUCUUCCAGUCUGAUCUGAAAGUGCUGUUACGAGUCCCAGUGGUUACAAGAUCAGGACCUGAAUAUCACAGCAUACAAAUACAGACAGAUCAAGCAAGCUGUAAAUUAAGAACUGCUGGGUGAAAGCUGUACAGAAAAGGUCAUGGAUUGCCAGUUGGGGACAAUUUGCUUUACUUGCUUUUCUUAGCACAAGUAAUAGCAAAAAAAUAUGAGACUAUACCCAUCCCUCAGAUGAACUCUGAAGACAAUAAUGGGGAAAAAAAAUAAAUCAAUUUGCCUUCCACCAGUACAAAUUCUUCAGGCAGCAG